AUGGUGCGAAAUUGACAGGCGGCUUCGGCUGUCACUUAUAGAUGGACCUGCGGCGCA
rnacentral:rRNA from 1 species